rnacentral:lncRNA from 10 species
CAGUUAGUGUUUUAUUCAAUGUUACCAUCUGAAAAUAUUUUUCUUAAUAUCAAAGUCUGAAGCCUAAAAUCAGGCCAGGUUUUCACUUGCGUCCAAGAAGAGCGAGACAUUUGAAGAAAGUUUCCAACAUGCCAGUGGAAGAAUCAGAAGUAACUGCCUAAUGUUUUCAAAUCAUUGAUGUAAAAACUGAACUUGGACAAUGGAAGAGUGAUGCAGGAGACAGCUGCAUUCAACUUUAAUUAUUCUGUAGAAUUUCAUUUUAACGUUAUGUACAUGUAUUACUCAGGAAAAAUAAAUAUGUAUGUAAAUAUGUUUGUGUACAUUAUCUCACAUGAUAAUCUAUAAAUUUGCCUAGUUAUGGGCUCAACUCUGUCUCAUGGCUGUUUUACCACUACUCUGGGAAGUUAUAUCACUUUAGUUCCAAAAGUUGGUGUAC